AUUGAACGCUGGCGGCAUGCCUUACACAUGCAAGUCGAACGGUAACAGGUUAAGCUGGCGCGUGGCGCGCGGGUGAGUAAUGUAUCGGAACGUGCUCAGUCGCGGGGGAUAACUGCUCGAAAGAGCAGCUAAUACCGCAUCCGACCUGAGGGAGAAUGCGGGGGCUCGCAAGUCCUCGCGCGAUUGGAGCGGCCGUGAUCCGAUUAGGUAGUUGGUGAGGUAAUGGCUCACCAAGCCGACGAUCUGUAGCUGGUCUGAGAGGUCGACCAGCCACACUGGGGUGGGGACACGGCCCAGACCCCUACGGGAGGCAGCAUAGGGGAAUUUUGGACAAUGGGCGCAAGCUGGAGCCGGCCAGGCGGCGGGGGGGAAGAAGGCCUUCGAGUGGUAAACCGUUUUUGUCAGGGAAGAAAAGGGUCUGGCUAAUACCUGGGAUUCAUGACGGUACCAGAAGAAUAAGCACCGCCUAACUACGU
rnacentral:rRNA from 1 species